rnacentral:sRNA from 1 species
UUCAAGAAUGCUGUUUGUAUUUGCAACAUCAACUACAACCACAUUAGGUAUGCAUCAGUUAACUUUUGCCCAUAGAACUCGAGCUCUUCAGUGUCUCUUCUAUUUGGCUGACAAGGAAACUAUAGAAUCUCUCUUUAAAAAACCCAUUGAAGAAGUGAAAUCUUAUUUGAAAUGUAUAACUUUUCUGGCAUCAUUUGAGACUU